UCCAGACUCCUACGGGAGGCAGCAGUGAGGAAUAUUGGUCAAUGGGCGAGAGCCUGAACCAGCCAAGUCGCGUGAGGGAGUACUGCCCUAUGGGUUGUAAACCUCUUUUGUCGGGGAGCAAAAGCCGGACGUGUCCGUCUGUGAGAGUACCCGAAGAAAAAGCAUCGGCUAACUCCGUGCCAGCAGCCGCGGUAAUACGGAGGAUGCGAGCGUUAUCCGGAUUUAUUGGGUUUAAAGGGUGCGCAGGCGGGAGAUCAAGUCAGCGGUAAAAUGUCGGGGCUCAACCCCGGCCGGCCGUUGAAACUGGUUUUCUAGAGUUGGAGAGAAGUAUGCGGAAUUCGUGGUGUAGCGGUGAAAUGCAUAGAUAUCACGAAGAACUCCGAUUGCGAAGGCAGCAUACCGGCUCCAUACUGACGCUGAGGCACGAAAGCGUGGGGAUCGAACAGGAUUAGAUACCCUGGUA
rnacentral:rRNA from 1 species